UUAAGCGACUAAGCGUACACGGUGGAUGCCCUGGCAGUCAGAGGCGAUGAAGGACGUGCUAAUCUGCGAAAAGCGUCGGUAAGGUGAUAUGAACCGUUAUAACCGGCGAUGUCCGAAUGGGGAAACCCAGUGUGAUUCGUCACACUAUCGUUAACUGAAUACAUAGGUUAACGAGGCGAACCGGGGGAACUGAAACAUCUAAGUACCCCGAGGAAAAGAAAUCAACCGAGAUUCCCCCAGUAGCGGCGAGCGAACGGGGAGCAGCCCAGAGUCUGAAUCAGCUUGUGUGUUAGUGGAACGGUCUGGAAAGUCCGACGGUACAGGGUGAUAGUCCCGUACACCAAAAUGCACAGGUUGUGAACUCGAAGAGUAGGGCGGGACACGUGGUAUCCUGUCUGAAUAUGGGGGGACCAUCCUCCAAGGCUAAAUACUCCUGACUGACCGAUAGUGAACCAGUACCGUGAGGGAAAGGCGAAAAGAACCCCGGCGAGGGGAGUGAAAAAGAACCUGAAACCGUGUACGUACAAGCAGUGGGAGCACCUUCGGGUGUGACUGCGUACCUUUUGUAUAAUGGGUCAGCGACUUAUAUUCUGUAGCAAGGUUAACCGUAUAGGGGAGCCGCAGGGAAACCGAGUCUUAACUGGGCGUUAAGUUGCAGGGUAUAGACCCGAAACCCGGUGAUCUAGCCAUGGGCAGGUUGAAGGUUGGGUAACACUAACUGGAGGACCGAACCGACUAAUGUUGAAAAAUUAGCGGAUGACUUGUGGCUGGGGGUGAAAGGCCAAUCAAACCGGGAGAUAGCUGGUUCUCCCCGAAAGCUAUUUAGGUAGCGCCUCGUGAAUUCAUCUUCGGGGGUAGAGCACUGUUUCGGCUAGGGGGUCAUCCCGACUUACCAACCCGAUGCAAACUACGAAUACCGAAGAAUGUUAUCACGGGAGACACACGGCGGGUGCUAACGUCCGUCGUGAAGAGGGAAACAACCCAGACCGCCAGCUAAGGUCCCAAAGUCAUGGUUAAGUGGGAAACGAUGUGGGAAGGCACAGACAGCCAGGAUGUUGGCUUAGAAGCAGCCAUCAUUUAAAGAAAGCGUAAUAGCUCACUGGUCGAGUCGGCCUGCGCGGAAGAUGUAACGGGGCUAAACCAUGCACCGAAGCUGCGGCAGCGACACUAUGUGUUGUUGGGUAGGGGAGCGUUCUGUAAGCCUGCGAAGGUGGCCUGUGAGGGUUGCUGGAGGUAUCAGAAGUGCGAAUGCUGACAUAAGUAACGAUAAAGCGGGUGAAAAGCCCGCUCGCCGGAAGACCAAGGGUUCCUGUCCAACGUUAAUCGGGGCAGGGUGAGUCGACCCCUAAGGCGAGGCCGAAAGGCGUAGUCGAUGGGAAACAGGUUAAUAUUCCUGUACUUGGUGUUACUGCGAAGGGGGGACGGAGAAGGCUAUGUUAGCCGGGCGACGGUUGUCCCGGUUUAAGCAUGUAGGCUGGUUAUCCAGGCAAAUCCGGAUAAUCAAGGCUGAGGUGUGAUGACGAGGCACUACGGUGCUGAAGUAACAAAUGCCCUGCUUCCAGGAAAAGCCUCUAAGCAUCAGGUAACAUUAAAUCGUACCCCAAACCGACACAGGUGGUCAGGUAGAGAAUACCAAGGCGCUUGAGAGAACUCGGGUGAAGGAACUAGGCAAAAUGGUGCCGUAACUUCGGGAGAAGGCACGCUGGUGUGUAGGUGAAGUCCCUGCGGAUGGAGCUGAGACCAGUCGAAGAUACCAGCUGGCUGCAACUGUUUAUUAAAAACACAGCACUGUGCAAACACGAAAGUGGACGUAUACGGUGUGACGCCUGCCCGGUGCCGGAAGGUUAAUUGAUGGGGUUAUCCGUAAGGAGAAGCUCUUGAUCGAAGCCCCGGUAAACGGCGGCCGUAACUAUAACGGUCCUAAGGUAGCGAAAUUCCUUGUCGGGUAAGUUCCGACCUGCACGAAUGGCGUAAUGAUGGCCAGGCUGUCUCCACCCGAGACUCAGUGAAAUUGAACUCGCUGUGAAGAUGCAGUGUACCCGCGGCAAGACGGAAAGACCCCGUGAACCUUUACUAUAGCUUGACACUGAACAUUGAGCCUUGAUGUGUAGGAUAGGUGGGAGGCUUUGAAGCGUGGACGCCAGUCUGCGUGGAGCCAACCUUGAAAUACCACCCUUUAAUGUUUGAUGUUCUAACGUUGGCCCCUGACCGGGGUUGCGGACAGUGUCUGGUGGGUAGUUUGACUGGGGCGGUCUCCUCCCAAAGCGUAACGGAGGAGCACGAAGGUUAGCUAAUCCUGGUCGGACAUCAGGAGGUUAGUGCAAUGGCAUAAGCUAGCUUGACUGCGAGCGUGACGGCGCGAGCAGGUGCGAAAGCAGGUCAUAGUGAUCCGGUGGUUCUGAAUGGAAGGGCCAUCGCUCAACGGAUAAAAGGUACUCCGGGGAUAACAGGCUGAUACCGCCCAAGAGUUCAUAUCGACGGCGGUGUUUGGCACCUCGAUGUCGGCUCAUCACAUCCUGGGGCUGAAGUAGGUCCCAAGGGUAUGGCUGUUCGCCAUUUAAAGUGGUACGCGAGCUGGGUUUAGAACGUCGUGAGACAGUUCGGUCCCUAUCUGCCGUGGGCGCUGGAGAAUUGAGGGGGGCUGCUCCUAGUACGAGAGGACCGGAGUGGACGCAUCACUGGUGUUCGGGUUGUCAUGCCAAUGGCACUGCCCGGUAGCUAAAUGCGGAAGAGAUAAGUGCUGAAAGCAUCUAAGCACGAAACUUGCCCCGAGAUGAGUUCUCCCUGAGACUUUAAGUCUCCUGAAGGAACGUUGAAGACGACGACGUUGAUAGGCCGGGUGUGUAAGCGCAGCGAUGCGUUGAGCUAACCGGUACUAAUGAACCGUGAGGCUUAACCUU
rnacentral:rRNA from 1 species